GACGAACGCUGGCGGCGUGCUUAACACAUGCAAGUCGAACGGGAAGGCCCUGCUUUUGUGGGGUGCUCGAGUGGCGAACGGGUGAGUUACACGUGAGUAACCUGCCCUUGACUUUGGGAUAACUUCAGGCAACUGGGGGUAAUACCGGAUAGGAGCUCCUGCUGCAUGGUGGGGGUUGGAAAGUUUCGGCGGUUGGGGAUGGACUCGCGGCUUAUCAGCUUGUUGGUGGGGUAGUGGCAUACCAAGGCUUUGAAGGGUAGCCGGCCUGCGAGGGUGACCGGCCACAUUGGGACUGAGAUACGGCCCAGACUCCUACGGGAGGCAGCAGUGGGGAAUAGUGCACAAUGGGCGGAAGCCUAAUGCAGCAACGCCGCGUGCGGGAUGACGGGCUUCGGGUUGGAAACCGCAUUCGCCUGUGACGAAGCGUGAGUGACGGUAAUGGGUAAAGAAGCACCGGCUAACUACGUG
rnacentral:rRNA from 1 species